rnacentral:rRNA from 1 species
GCAGUCGCCGCGGGAAUACGGAGGGAGCUAGCGUUAUUCGGAAUUACUGGGCGUAAAGCGCACGUAGGCGGCUUUGUAAGUUAGAGGUGAAAGCCUGGAGCUCAACUCCAGAAUUGCCUUUAAGACUGCAUCGCUUGAAUCCAGGAGAGGUGAGUGGAAUUCCGAGUGUAGAGGUGAAAUUCGUAGAUAUUCGGAAGAACACCAGUGGCGAAGGCGGCUCACUGGACUGGUAUUGACGCUGAGGUGCGAAAGCGUGGGGAGCAAACAGGAUUAGAGACCCCAGUAGUCCCUGUCUCUUAUAA